AGGGUGAGUCGACCCCUAAGGCGAGGCCGAAAGGCGUAGUCGAUGGGAAACAGGUUAAUAUUCCUGUACUUGGUGUUACUGCGAAGGGGGGACGGAGAAGGCUAUGUUGGCCGGGCGACGGUUGUCCCGGUUUAAGCGUGUAGGCUGGUUUUCCAGGCAAAUCCGGAAAACUAAGGCUGAGGCGUGAUGACGAGGCACUACGGUGCUGAAGCAACAAAUGCCCUGCUUCCAGGAAAAGCCUCUAAGCAUCAGGUAACAUCAAAUCGUACCCCAAACCGACACAGGUGGUCAGGUAGAGAAUACCAAGGCGCUUGAGAGAACUCGGGUGAAGGAACUAGGCAAAAUGGUGCCGUAACUUCGGGAGAAGGCACGCUGAUAUGUAGGUGAAGUCCCUCGCGGAUGGAGCUGAAAUCAGUCGAAGAUACCAGCUGGCUGCAACUGUUUAUUAAAAACACAGCACUGUGCAAACACGAAAGUGGACGUAUACGGUGUGACGCCUGCCCGGUGCCGGAAGGUUAAUUGAUGGGGUCAGCGCAAGCGAAGCUCUUGAUCGAAGCCCCGGUAAACGGCGGCCGUAACUAUAACGGUCCUAAGGUAGCGAAAUUCCUUGUCGGGUAAGUUCCGACCUGCACGAAUGGCGUAAUGAUGGCCAGGCUGUCUCCACCCGAGACUCAGUGAAAUUGAACUCGCUGUGAAGAUGCAGUGUACCCGCGGCAAGACGGAAAGACCCCGUGAACCUUUACUAUAGCUUGACACUGAACAUUGAGCCUUGAUGUGUAGGAUAGGUGGGAGGCUUUGAAGUGUGGACGCCAGUCUGCAUGGAGCCGACCUUGAAAUACCACCCUUUAAUGUUUGAUGUUCUAACGUUGACCCGUAAUCCGGGUUGCGGACAGUGUCUGGUGGGUAGUUUGACUGGGGCGGUCUCCUCCUAAAGAGUAACGGAGGAGCACGAAGGUUGGCUAAUCCUGGUCGGACAUCAGGAGGUUAGUGCAAUGGCAUAAGCCAGCUUGACUGCGAGCGUGACGGCGCGAGCAGGUGCGAAAGCAGGUCAUAGUGAUCCGGUGGUUCUGAAUGGAAGGGCCAUCGCUCAACGGAUAAAAGGUACUCCGGGGAUAACAGGCUGAUACCGCCCAAGAGUUCAUAUCGACGGCGGUGUUUGGCACCUCGAUGUCGGCUCAUCACAUCCUGGGGCUGAAGUAGGUCCCAAGGGUAUGGCUGUUCGCCAUUUAAAGUGGUACGCGAGCUGGGUUUAGAACGUCGUGAGACAGUUCGGUCCCUAUCUGCCGUGGGCGCUGGAGAACUGAGGGGGGCUGCUCCUAGUACGAGAGGACCGGAGUGGACGCAUCACUGGUGUUCGGGUUGUCAUGCCAAUGGCACUGCCCGGUAGCUAAAUGCGGAAGAGAUAAGUGCUGAAAGCAUCUAAGCACGAAACUUGCCCCGAGAUGAGUUCUCCCUGACUCCUUGAGAGUCCUGAAGGAACGUUGAAG
rnacentral:rRNA from 1 species